rnacentral:rRNA from 1 species
GACGAACGCUGGCGGCGUGCCUAACACAUGCAAGUCGAGCGGAGAUGAUGUGAGGAAGUUUUCAGAUGGAAUCACAUUAUUUUAGCGGCGGACGGGUGAGUAACGCGUGAGCGACCAACCUUGCACAGGGGGAUAACGGACCGAAAGGUUCACUAAUACCGCAUGAGACCACGGUGUUGCAUGGCACAGGGGUCAAAGGAGGAAUCCGGUGCAAGACGGGCUCGCGUCCGAUUAGGUAGUUGGAGGGGUAACGGCCCACCAAGCCUAUGAUCGGUAGCCGACCUGAGAGGGUGAUCGGCCACAUUGGAACUGAGAUGCGGUCCAAACUCCUACGGGAGGGAGCAGUGGGGAAUAUUGGGCAAUGGGGGAAACCCUGACCCAGCAACGCCGCGUGAAGGAAGAAGGUUUUCGGAUUGUAAACUUCUGUCCUUGGUGAAGAGAAGAAGACGGUAGCCAAGGAGGAAGCCCCGGCUAACUACGUGCCAGCCGCCGCAGUAA